CCAUUUCACACGGUACACUUUGGACAAAGAUUUACAUUCUGGGUUGUCAUUCAGUAGUCGACAAGAGCGUCGGAUGACUUCGAUCCUGGAUACGACCAAGGAAUGUUUGUGUGCCUCUCUUGUGGUCCACAAUUCGCCAGUUUACGAACGUUUGGACACAGUACAGCUCAAAUGUAGUGGUCUUCUCGGAGACAACAAAUAAUUCCAACAAAAUAGAAUAGUGUUGAACCAUUCAACCUCUGCUGCUCUCCCUUCUGGCCAAGAACAUCUGCAAUUUUGGAAAAACAUCGACGACAUCAACUAGCAUUUCGACAUCUUAAUCCCAGCGGACUUCAUUCUUUGCUUUCACAGUGUGAGGCAGCCAACUGAAAAAGCCUGACCAGUUGAAGUAGCUCACAGCGUUGGCAAUAUUUGAGCGCUAGUCCGUUAUGUGAGUCACAUCGGCCAUGUCCUCUUGGGAAAUCUGGAGUUUUCCAAUUGCGGCAUUUAACAAACUCUUUUCAUUCUCAGCGAUUUCGGGUUAAUCCGCUGGAAAAUCAGUCGUAAAUAGCACCAGAGAAUUGAGCUCGAACUCCACCGUGAUGUAUUUGGCCGUAGUCGUGAGGUAUACUGUUUCCGAAUACCGAUCCGACCACAGAUCAGCAUCGAAAGCACAGCAUUUAGCUCUCAAAGCCUCCCUCACUUCUGCCAACUGUUUGGCUCUGACCUUCUCAACAACAACGCACGCUUUUUUCGAUACUAUCGAUGGGUGUGGCAGCACAUUUUCGAGGUCCACAUUCCCGAAUUCCGCACCAACUUCGAUAAGCUUCUGCACCAAAUUCCUAAUACCUGGUCCGUUAAGCACGCUAAAUGGACGCAGAUCUAAGGCUUCCCACUUCACGCAAGCGUCCAAAAUUCGGUCCUUGACGUGCUGUGAUACACUUUGGGCAGAAGCUUGGCCUUCUGGAAUACUCUCCUGUACCACUUUCGGGAUACUCUCCUGAUCCACUUCAGAAGCCGAAGACUAAGGAUCGGAAUCAGAAGCGCCUGCAUCUCCCGAUGUGGUGAUUCAAGUUCUAGAUAUUGUUGCCAUUCGGGAAUCGGAAAAGGGAUUCGCAGUUCACGCACUACACAAAGCCGACACACUCCCUUGUGCUGCUCAAACACACGUUCUUGAAGAUACUCCAAGCUUCGCAUGAUCGGGCCUCUUCCUUGUCGCAAAGGAUGUACUCGCCUGAGCGAACGCGAGUGCGAACGAUAGCAGUGUUAACCGGAGUAUUUUCCAUAAUGGGAGAGUUUGGUUUGAUUGUAAGCUAACUAAAGAGAUGUAGACUCCACUACAAGGCUUCCCAUUUCACACGGUACACUUAGGACAAAGAUUGGCCUUCCGGAGAUCUUUCCUGUUCCUUUUGUUCAAAUCCAGCUUUGCAAUCAGAAGACGAAGGAUAAGAUACAGAAUUGACAACGCCUGCCCUGACUCUUUGAAAGUGAUGAUUCAGGUUCGACGUGCUAUUGCCCUUUGGGAACCGGAAAAGAGAUUGACACUUUGCACACUGCACAAACCCAACACUCACUCUUGUGGUGCUCAAACACAACUUCUUGAAGAUACUUAAAGCUUUGGUUGAUCGUGCACCUUGCUUAUCAUCGCACUCUCCUGAGCGCACCCGAAUACGAAUCGUAGCACUGUCUACUGGUGUGUUUUCAUUCUGGGUUGUCAUUCAGCAAUCGGCAAGAAUUUACCAUACCAUUACCAUGUAUUCCAGAGCGGUGACGGCGGAUCUGGUUCAAAAGUGCAUUUAAAAAAUCAAUAGAUUUGAGCACAAUUUCCGUCUUCGAACCGAUGGAUCCAUAAGAGUUGGAGCAAAAGAAACGAGAGGUUCCUAAGAUACGACCUAGAAACGAGCUCGAACUCAUCCGUGAUGUAUUUGGCCGUAGUCCUGAUGUAUGGUGUUUCCGAAUACCGAUUUGACCAAAGAUCAGCAUCGAAAGCACAGCAUUUAGCUCUCAAAGCCUCCCUCACUUCUGGCAACUGUUUGGCUCUGACCUUCUUAGCAACAACGUACGCUUUCCUCAACACUAUCGAUGGGUCUGGCAGCACACUUUCGAGGUCCACAUUCCCGAAUUCCGCACCAACCUCGAUAAGCUUCUGCGCCAAAUUCCUAAAGCCUGGUUCGUUAAGCACGCUAAAUGGACGCAGAUCUAAGGCUUCCUACUUCACGUAAGUGUCAAAAAAUCUGGUUCUUGACGUGCUGUGGAACACUUUGGGCAGAAGCUUGGCCUUCGGGAAUAUUAUCCUGUUCCACUUCAGAAGCCGAAGACUCAGGAUCGGAAUCAGAAACUCCUGCCCUGCAUCUCUCGAAGUGGCGAUUCAGGUUCGAAAUGCUAUUGCCCUUUGGGAACCGGAAAAGCGAUUCGCAGUUCACGCACUGAACAUACCCGACACUAUCCCUCGUGCUGCUCAAACACACGUUCUUGAAGAUACUCCAAGCUUCGCAUGAUCGGGCACCUCUCUUGUCGCAAAGUAUGUACUCGCCUGAGCGCACCCGAAUGCGAACCGUAGCACUGUCAACCGGUGUGUUUUCCAUUAUGGGAGAGUUUGGUUUGCUUGUAAGCUAAUUAGAAAGAGAGAUUGACCAAAUGUAGACUCAACUAAAAGGCUUCCCAUUUCACACGGUAUACUUUGGACAAAGAUUGGCCUUCCGUAGUUCUUUCCUGUUCCUGUAUUUCAAAUCCAGCUUCGCAACCAGAAGACGAGGAAUAAGAAGUAGAACUGACAACCCUGCCCUGUAACUUUCAAAGUGGCGAUUAAGGUUCGACGUGCUAUUGCCCUUUGGGAACCGGAAAAGAGAUUGACACUUUGCACACUGCGCAAACACGACACUCUCGCUUGUGCUGCUCAAACACACCUUCUUGAAAAUGCUCCAAGCUUCGAAUGAUCGGCACCUUGCUGAUCAUCGCAUACGAUGUACUCUCCUAAGCGCACCCGAAUACGAAUCGUAGCACUAUCUACUGAUGUGUUUUCCAUUCUGGGUUGUCAUUCAGUAGUCGAGAAGUACUUUGUUUUGUAUUGACAACGCCUGCCCUGCAACUUUCAUAAAGGCGAUUAAGGUUCGACGUGCUAUUGCCCUUUGGGAACCGGAAAAGAGAUUGAUACUUAGCACACUGCACAAACACGACACUCUCGCUUGUGCUGCUCAAACACACCUUCUUGAAAAUGCUCCAAGCUUCGGAUGAUCAGCACCUUGCUUAUCAUCGCAUACGAUGUACUCUCCUAAGCGCACCCGAAUACGAAUCGUAGCACUAUCUACUGAUGUGUUUUCCAUUCUGGGUUGUCAUUCAGCAGUCGAGAAGAUUUCGUCGAAUAUAUGCACAAACUGCGCUUCGAAGGCACGACCCAAGAAAAAGUUGUAUGGGAAAAACUCUCGAAAAUAAAAAAGAAGCAUGGCCUCAACACUUCAUCUGCUGGAAUGAAUGCGCCAACUGUUGGUUAUCAAUCAACCAUUGAAUUCAUCUGACGAAGAAUUUCUGGCAGUCACUCCAUUGGCCUUGACUUUGUCUUCACCCGGAGGAACGCGUCUACUGGGUAAUCCUGCACAGCUGCAGCACUGUCAAAGGCUCACAACUGCAGUACGAUAUAAGCAGCCAGCGACUAGCUUCAAACAAUAAUUUUAAAUUUGGCUAUCAGGCUGGCUCUGAAAAAAAAAGUAAAUGAAUAGUGAAAAUUUGUACGGACUGCUGAAGUUCGACCUAAGAAAUAGUUUUGAAUUACUAGGAACCGAUCUACAGUUUCUGGACAGACUCGACUCCUUUUGUCGCUCAAUACAACACCCGCUAGGCUAAUGUUUUGCUCGCUGUUAUCACCCGCAGCGGGUAUUGUGAGGAUGCGUUUCGCCAGAGUGGCCAGUCUCGGAAACAGGGAAGCUCAACAGUGUUUCGGGUGCGUCGUCAUUCCUUCUACCGUAUUGCAAGUACAGCUCCGGCUCUGCCUACGGCGCUAGAAUACCACUGCUACUUUCAUCCAUUCACGACCCAAAUCGAUAUCUUUUGGAAUCUCAGCGGACUAAGAUCUUUGCUUUCACAGUGUGAGGCAGCAAACUGAAAAAGACUGACCGGUUCAUGUAGUUCACAGCGUUUCUUGCUACUUGUAGGCAUGUCAUGAUCGAUGGAGCAUGGUCUCUCAAAUAAUUGCCAUCCAAUGCAUGCUUCAAAACGGUGUCUGGAUAAUUGACCAUGCAGAAAACAACUCCUUACAUUUGCAGAGAUUUCAGAUUGAUCCGAUGAAAAAUCAGUCGUAAAUAACACCAGUGAUUUGAGCUCAAACUUCUCCGUGAUGUAUUUGGCCGUAGUCGUGAGGUAUGCUGUUUCCGAAUACCAAUCCGACCACAGAUCAGCAUCGCAAGCACAGCAUUUAGCUCUCAAAGCCUCCCUCACUUCUGGCAACUGUUUCGCUCUGACCUUCUCUGCAACGACGCACGCUUUCCUCGAAACUAUUGAUGGGUCCGGCAGCACACUUUCGAGGUCCACAUUCCCGAAUUCCGCACCAACUUCGAUAAGCUUCUGCGCCAAAUUCCUAAAACCUGGUCCAUUAGGCACGCUAAAUGGACGCAGAUCCAAGGCUUCCCACUUCACGCAAGCGUCAAAAAAUCCGGUCUUUGACGUGCUGUGGUACGCUUUGGGCAGAAGCUUGGCCUCUCGGAAUACUCUCUUGUACCACUUUCGGGAUACUCUCCUGUUCCACUUCAGAAGCCACUUCCGGGAUACUCUCCUGUUCCUCUUCAGAAGCCGAAGACUCAGGAUCGGAAUCGGAAGCGCCUUACCUGGUUCUCUCGAAGUGUCAAUUCAGGUUCGAGGUACUGUUGCCUUUCGGGAAUCGGAAAACGGAUCCGCAGUUCACGCACUGCACAAAGCCGACACACUCCCUUGUGGUGCUCAAACACACGUUCUUGAAUAUACUCCAAGCUUCGCAUGAUCGGGCACAUUCCUUGUCGCAAAGGAUGUACUCGCCUGAGCGAACCCGGAUGCGAACGGUAGCAGCGUUAACCGGUGCGUUUUCCAUAAUGGGAGAAUUUGGUUUUAUUGUAAGCUCAGUAGAAAGAGAGAUUGAUCAAAUGUAGACUCAACUAAAAGGCUUCUCAUUUCACACGGUAUACUUUGGACAAAGAUUGGCCUUCCAUAGUUCUUUCCUGUUCCUGUAUUUCAAAUCCAGCUUCGCAACCAGAAGACGAGGAAUUAGAAGCAGAACUGACAACCCUGCCCUGUAACUUUCAAAGUGGCGAUUAAGAUUCGACGUGCUAUUGCCCUUUGGGAACCGGAAAAGAGAUUGAUACUUUGCACACUGCACAAACCCAACACUCUCCCUUGUGCUGCUCAAACACACCUUCUUGAAAAUGCUCCAAGCUUCGGAUGAUCGGCACCUUGCUUAUCAUCGCAUACGAUGUACUCUCCUGAGCGCACCCGAAUAGCACUAUCUACUGGUGUGUUUUCCAUUCUGGGUUGUCAUUCAGCAGUCGAGAAGAGCAUCGGAUAUCUUAGAUCCUGGAUAGGACCAAGGAAAUUGGGUGUGCCUCUCUUGGGCAUUUCGUUAAUUUACGAACGUUUGGACACAGUACAGCUCCAAUGUAGUGGUCUUCUCGGAGACAACAAUUAAUUCCAACAAAAUAGAAUAGUGUUGAACCAUUCAACCUCUGUUGCUCUCCCUUCUGGCCAAGAACAUCCUUAAUUUUCGAAAUAACAUCAAAGACAUCAACUAGCAUAUCGACAUCUGCAUCCCAGCGGACUUCAAACUUUGCUUUCACAGCGUAAGGCAGCAAACUGAAAAAGCCUGACUAGUUCAAGUAGUUCACAGCGUUUCUUGCUACUUGCAGGCAUGUCAUGAUCGAUGGAGCAUGGUCUCUCAAAAAAUUUCCAUCCAAUGCAUGUUUCAAAAAGGUGUCCAGAUUAUUGGCCAUGCAGGACACAAAGUUCCGAUUGGCGAAUGCUUUGGCAAUAUUUGAGCGCUGGUCCGUUAUGUGAGUCACAUCAGCAAUGUCCUCUUGGGAAAUCUGGAGUUUUUCAAUUGCAGCAUUUGAAAAACUCCUUACAUUCGCAGCGAUUUCGGAUUGAUCCGCUGGGAGGUCAGUCGUAAAUAGCACCAGCGAUUUGAGCUCGAACUCCUCCGUUAUGUAUUUGGCCGUAGUCGUGAGGUAUGCUGAUUCCGAAUACCGAUCCGACCACAGAUCAGCAUCGCAAGCACAGCAUUUAGCUCUCAAAGCCUCCCUCACUUCUGGCAACUGUUUCGUUCUGACCUUCUCUGCAACGACGCACGCUUUCCCGAAACUAUUGAUGGGUCUGGCAGAACACUUUCGAGGUCCACAUUCCUGAAUUCCGCACCAACUUCGAUAAGCUUCUGCGCCCAAUUCCUAAAACCUGGUCUGUUAAGCACACAAAAUGGACGCAGAUCUAAGGCUUUCCACUUCAUGCAAGCGUUAAAAAUUUGGUCCUUGACGUGCUGUUGUACGCUUUGGGCAGAAGCUUGGCCUUCCGGAAUACUCUCCUGUUCCACUUCAGAAGCCGAAGACUCAGGAUCGGAUUCAGAAGCACCUGCUCUGCAUCUCUCGAAGUGGCGAUUCAGGUUCGAGGUACUGUUGCCCUUCGGGAAUCGGAAAAGGGAUCCGCAGUUCACGCACUGCACAAAGCCAACACACUCCCUUGUAGUGCUCAAACUCACAUUCUUGAAGAUACUCCAAGCUUCGCAUGAUCGGGCACCUUCCUUGUCGCAAAGUAUGUACUCGCCUAAGCGCACCCGUAUGCGAAUCGUAGCACUGUCAAUCGGUGUGUUUUCCAUUCUGAGAAUGAUAAUGGGAACUACAUUAUUCUAUUGUAAGUUUUUUAGAAAGAGAG